UUUAAUUAGCCUUGGCCUCAAGUCAGAGGACUUUGUUGACAUUGAAAGUGGCAAUUCUCUUCUGGCUGAGGGCAAAUCUAGACUUGCAGUGGCCCCUGAAAAGAUGGCUGAAAGUAAAAGAAGAAAAGUGGCUGCACGCACGUGAAGUACUUUUCCGGGGGUUUGAUAGUAGUUUUGUGGACACAAGCCCGACUGAUGUUGAAACUUGUGCGAAUUUUCUUCAUUGGACUUUUUAGUUGGCAGUUUAUUAGAGCACAUAACCAGAAUUUUCUUCAUAUUCAUUGCUGUGCUUCUGUAUAUUCAUAAUGUCUGUUUAAAUUUAGUAGAUAUGCUUUCAUGAAUGGGAUUUCCUGUCAAGGUGCUAUUGUUCCCGCUGUGGUAUGUUUAGGCCCGCACAGUCAGUCAUGCAGUUUCACUCAAGUGAGUGUAUUCUCUGCUUUCUUUUUUCUUUUUUUGUUAAAGGUUUUUUCGCUAGUCAAGCUGCUUCACUCAUGACUAUACACACAGUUGUUCACUAGUCCUGCUGUUUUACUCAAGUGAGUGUAUUCUCUGGUAUCUUUUGUAAAGGUUUGUUCUCUAGUCAUGCUGCUUCACUUGGGUGAGUGUAUUGCUUAGUUUUGUAAAAAGGUUGUUCUCUAGUCAUGUUGCCUCAUUACUGGGUUCCUUGCUUUAUUAUCAACAGGGUUUGCUUGCUAGUAAUGUUGCCUCACUAGGAUAAUUGUAUUCCUUGGUUUGUCUCGUAAGAGGAUUGUUCUUUAGUCACACUGCCUCACUAUUUUGAGUAUUCCUUUUUGUAAAACGUUUGUUCACAAGUGGUGCUAGUUCCAUGAGCAUAUAUUCAUUGCAUUGUUUCAUGACAGCUUUAUCAGUCACAUUGCCUCACCCAUGUGAGUGUAUUCUAUUUCCUUUGUGAAAGGCCACUGUUGUGAUAUUUAAUCAUGAGAUCUGUUCCUGUGAUCUUUCCUGUACAAGUACAUGCAAAUAUCCGCCCAAGCUGCUGUGAUAGUGUUGUUGCCUUAAGACGUUUUAUAAUAAAAUGCAAUAAUUGUAUAUUUACACAUUGUUUGUCUGCUAACUUUAGUUAAAGCUAGACUAGUUCGUGGUAUUAAUAAUUAAAAUAAGUUGCAUUUGUUAUAUUUUGGCUAUAAUAGAACACCACUCAGCACUUCUUGCUUUCUUAUUAUUUACUUGCUGUGAAAGCUGCACAUACGUUUUGCAAUUGUUUCAACAGACACCCGCUUCGAACGCUCGUUUUACUGCUCCGAAAAGCAAUUUUGCCUGCUCCGAAAGCCCCAUUUUACUGCUCCAAAGCAUUUCUGCCUGCUCCGAAAGCCGAUUUUACUGCUCCGAAAAGCAUUUUUGCCUGCUCCGAACGCUACUCCGAAAUGGCCAAGGCCAGUAUCAUCACUGCAAAUUUCUACAACCAGACAAAUUUUUAAUCACUGAUUUGCUUAAUUUCAGCUCACUCAUUCAAAGUGCAAAUACAGUGUGAAUGAAGCAGUCACAUGGGCAUACAGUUUAGUUAACGGCUUUGACAAACAUCACCUUAGCACUAUAGUGCUUUGAUUUCUCUCAUGCGGCAUUUUCUUGUGGACAAAAUGAAUCUGGAGCAUUGUAUUUCAUUGUAUUGGGUAUUUGAGGCCUGAUGUUAAAUGCAAGAGCAAAUUGAGAUUUGUUAAAGCACUUAGUUCAGGCUCGAAGUGCACAUCACAACAAAAAGGAGGCUAAGCGUGGGUUUCAGUUUCAAAUUAAUACGUCUAUUGAGAAUGCCAUGCGGAGGGAUAUUCAAAGCAAGACCCAUUGGCAUGGCUUCAUUUAUUCGUUGCAACGCAUUCAAGUUUGCUGUUGAUUAACAGGUGGAUGAAGAAGGCAAUCCUUGCGUUUUAUAGAGUCCCGAACAGUCACAUGGCAAUGAUCGCCAAGCCUCUCAUAACAUGGAGCCACCUCAGAAUUGCACCAAAGGCAACCCUGUCGGCAACCCUGUCGUGACGAUAACACCUAAUGUGCCGCUCUUCGUGUAGAUUGCCGCUGGAUGCCUUGUUCUCACUUCGGCCUCGUGAACAACGAUUUCGACAAGCGACGGAUGCUGCUGGCGUGGCGCUGAAUUGGGAACUCCGGUGCCGCUUCGUUUCGACGUUUUCGGUACCUUUUCUACGCCCCCAACAAUCUCAGCUGCUGCACAUGUGCAUGAUGCCUACGGAGGAUCGCGCAAAGCUACGAUGACGUCACUCACCGAUAAGUGGAUCGCCUCGCCGUUGGGUUUAAAAGGACUACCAGUGCCUGCUUUCUUCAGUGGACACGGCAGCCCUGUCGUGACGAUGACACCUAAUGUGCCGCUCUUCGUGCAGGAAGCCAUCAUCUGGUGCUGUGUACAGCAAGCACAUGCUUCGGGCAAGGAGGGAGGUAGCCAGCACCAUAUCUACAUAAGCAAGAACAUCAGUGCUGAAAAUAAACAUUUUCUGUCUAAA